GGUGGUGUAGCCUUAAUUUGGCAAUCUGAUUUAUAGGUCAGAAAGUGGGAGUAGUUCCCCAUCGCCU
rnacentral:tRNA from 2 species